rnacentral:rRNA from 1 species
UACGAAGGGGGCUAGCGUUGCUCGGAAUCACUGGGCGUAAAGCGCACGUAGGCGGAUUGCUAAGUCAGGGGUGAAAUCCUGGAGCUCAACUCCAGAACUGCCUUUGAUACUGGCGACCUUGAGUCCGGGAGAGGUGAGUGGAACUGCGAGUGUAGAGGUGAAAUUCGUAGAUAUUCGCAAGAACACCAGUGGCGAAGGCGGCUCACUGGCCCGGUACUGACGCUGAGGCGCGAAAGCCAGGGGAGCAAACGGG